CCUACGGGAGACAGCAGUGGGGAAUAUUGCGCAAUGGGCGAAAGCCUGACGCAGCGACGCCGCGUGAGGGAUGAAGGUCUUCGGAGCGGAAACCUCUGUCAGCAGGGAAGAACGGUCACUGUGCUAAUCAGCAGUGAAUUGACGGUACCUGCAAAGGAAGCACCGGCUAACUCCGUGCCAGCAGCCGCGGGAAUAAGGAGGGUGCGGGCGUUAAUCGGAAUUAGUGGGCGUAAAGCGCUCGUAGGCGGUAUGUCAAGUCAAGGGUGAAAUCCCCGCGCUCAACGUGGGAACCGCCUUUGAAACUGGCAAACUGGAGUGUGUGAGAGGAUAGUGGAAUUCCAGGUGUAGGAGUGAAAUCCGUAGAUAUCUGGAGGAACAUCAGUGGCGAAGGCGACUAUCUGGCACAUAACUGACGCUGAGGAGCGAAAGCGUGGGUAGCAAACAGGAUUAGAUACCCUUGUAGUC
rnacentral:rRNA from 1 species